rnacentral:rRNA from 1 species
AUUGAACGCUGGCGGCAGGCCUAACACAUGCAAGUCGAGCGGAGCGGAGGACGGGUGGGUAAUGCCUAGGAAGAUACCUGGUAGUGGGGGAUAAGGUCCGGAAACGGGCGAUAAUACUGCAAACUAUCCUAUGAGCCUGGGUCGGAUUAGCUAGUUGGUGGGGUAAAGGCCUACCAAGGCGACGAUCCGUAACUGGUCUGAGAGGAUGAUCAGUCACACUGGAACUGAGACACGGUCCAGACUCCUACGGGAGGCAGCAGUGGGGAAUAUUGGACAAUGGGCGAAAGCCUGAUCCAGCCAUGCCGCGUGUGUGAAGAAGGUCUUCGGAUUGUAAAGCACUUUAAGUUGGGAGGCGUUACCAACAGAAUAAGCACCGGCUAACUUCGUGCCAGCCGCCGCGGUAAUAC